UGGGGAAUUUUGGACAAUGGGCGAAAGCCUGAUCCAGCAAUGCCGCGUGUGUGAAGAAGGCCUUCGGGUUGUAAAGCACUUUUGUCCGGAAAGAAAUCCUUGGCUCUAAUACAGUCGGGGGAUGACGGUACCGGAAGAAUAAGCACCGGCUAACUACGUGCCAGCAGCCGCGGUAAUACGUAGGGUGCAAGCGUUAAUCGGAAUUACUGGGCGUAAAGCGUGCGCAGGCGGUUUGCUAAGACCGAUGUGAAAUCCCCGGGCUCAACCUGGGAACUGCAUUGGUGACUGGCAGGCUAGAGUAUGGCAGAGGGGGGUAGAAUUCCACGUGUAGCAGUGAAAUGCGUAGAGAUGUGGAGGAAUACCGAUGGCGAAGGCAGCCCCCUGGCCAAGUACUGACGCUCAUGCACGAAAGCGUGGGGAGCAAACAGGAUUAGAUACCCUGGUAGUCCACGCCCUAAACGAUGUCAACUAGUUGUUGGGGGAUUCAUUUCCUUAGUAACGUAGCUAACGCGUGAAGUUGACCGCCU
rnacentral:rRNA from 1 species